CACCUGCGCCACGAGUGGCAACCAGUAUUAUUGGGCCUAAAGCGUUCGUAGCUGGUCUUGAAAAUUUCCUGUGAAAUCGUCUCGCUUAACGUGACGGCGUGCUGGAAACACUUCAAGACUUGGGACCGGGAGGCGUCAGAGGUAUUCUUGAGGGAGCGGUAAAAUGCUAUAAUCUCAGGAGGACCCCCUGUGGCGAAGGCGUCUGACGAGAACGGAUCCGACGGUGAGGAACGAAAGCCAGGGGAGCAAACCG
rnacentral:rRNA from 1 species